CCCCCUUUCUGUAGUGCUUCAACAAUUCCCUUUCUUAUUGCACCUGAUACACUCCAGACUUCCAUGCUGGAUUUGCUCUGGUUGCUGGUUAGUGCCUCAGGUGGUGAGACCUUGCGAACCAAGCUGUUCCUGAGUCUUCUUCUAAAUGGUACAGGCCAGCAAGGAGGCAUAUGUAUGAGGGCUUCCAUACAUGCCAAGCUCUCUCAGACAGGUUGAUCAACUUUGCUCAGCCUUCUGAACAAAAAAGUUAAAUAUAAAUCCUCAAGCAACAUGUCUGGAGCAUACUUCCAAAAGUUUGUAAUAAACCUACUAAAUAAACUGACGUGUGACUGUGU
rnacentral:lncRNA from 1 species